CACAUAUUUUCUCUGUGAGUUUCUAUGUAACCAAGGAGUCUAAAGGCAACCUGUGCCAAGUAACAUCCUGCUUAAAGAUACAAAGGAGGGCAUUUUAUGAGAACACUACUGUUUUUUCUGUAACAUGAAAGUUAUUAACUUAUUCAUUAUUGUAAAAGAGAAUCACUGAAUGAUUGUGGCUGAAAGAAACCACUGGAGGUCAUCUUGGUCCAGCCCGCCUGCCUCAGCUGAGCCCGUGUCCUCGUUAUG